AUACGUAGGGGGCGAGCGUUGUCCGGAAUUACUGGGCGUAAAGAGUACGUAGGCGGCCUGUUAAGUCUGAUGUGAAAUCCCGCGGCUUAACCGCGGAGGGUCAUUGGAAACUGGCAGGCUUGAGUACGGCAGGGGUAAGUGGAAUUCCAAGUGGAGCGGUGAAAUGCGUAGAUAUUUGGAGGAACACCAGUGGCGAAGGCGGCUUACUGGGCCGGAACUGACGCUGAGGUACGAAAGCGUGGGGAGCAAACAGGAUUAGAUACCCUGGUAGUCCACGCCGUAAACGAUGAGCACUAAGUGUCGGAUAUAAAUUCGGCGCUGUAGUUAACACAUUAAGUGCCCCGCCUGGGGAGUACGGUCGCAAGACUGAA
rnacentral:rRNA from 1 species